UACGUAGGGUGCGAGCGUUAAUCGGAAUUACUGGGUCGUAAAGCGUGCGCAGGCGGUGAGCUGUGUCCGAUGUGAAAGCCCCGGGCUUAACCUGGGAAUGGCAUUGGAAACUGGCUCGCUGGAGUGUGGCAGAGGGGGGUGGAAUUCCGCGUGUAGCAGUGAAAUGCGUAGAUAUGUGGAGGAACACCGAUGGCGAAGGCAGCCCCCCUGGGCUAACACUGACGCUCAUGCACGAAAGCGUGGGGAGCAAACAGG
rnacentral:rRNA from 1 species